rnacentral:rRNA from 1 species
ACACGGGGGGCGCAAGCGUUAUUCGGAAUUAUUGGGCGUAAAGGGCGUGUAGGCGGUUUUAUCGGUCAGAUGUGAAAGCCCAGGGCUCAACCCUGGACGUGCAUUUGAAACAGUAAGACUUGAGUACGGUAGAGGAAAGCGGAAUUCCUGGUGUAGAGGUGAAAUUCAUAGAUAUCAGGAGGAACACCGAUGGCGAAGGCAGCUUUCUGGACCGAAACUGACGCUGAUGCGCGAAGGCGUGGGUAGCGAACAGGAUUAGAAACCCCGGUAGUCC